rnacentral:rRNA from 1 species
UACGUAGGUGGCAAGCGUUGUCCGGAUUUACUGGGCGUAAAGAGCGCGCAGGCGGCUGGGCAAGUCCGAUGUGAAAGCUUCCGGCUUAACUGGAAAAUUGCAUCGGAAACUGCUCGGCUUGAAGGUGGGAGAGGGUAGCGGAAUUCCUGGUGUAGCGGUGAAAUGCGUAGAUAUCAGGAGGAACACCGGUGGUGUAGACGGCUUACUGGACCACGACUGACACUGAGGCACGAAAGCGUGGGUAGCAAACAGG